UUCGAAGCAACGCGAAGAACCUUACCUAAGCUUGACAUCCCAAUGACAUCUCCUUAAUCGGAGAGUUCCCUUCGGGGACAUUGGUGACAGGUGGUGCAUGGUUGUCGUCAGCUCGUGUCGUGAGAUGUUGGGUUAAGUCCCGCAACGAGCGCAACCCUUGUCUUUAGUUGCCAUCAUUAAGUUGGGCACUCUAGAGAGACUGCCAGGGAUAACCUGGAGGAAGGUGGGGAUGACGUCAAAUCAUCAUGCCCCUUAUGCUUAGGGCUACACACGUGCUACAAUGGGUAGUACAGAGGGUUGCCAAGCCGUAAGG
rnacentral:rRNA from 1 species